rnacentral:misc_RNA from 1 species
GAUGAAGAACGCAGCGAAAUGCGAUAAGUAAUGUGAAUUGCAGAAUUCAGUGAAUCAUCGAAUCUUUGAACGCACAUUGCGCCCGCUAGUAUUCUGGCGGGCAUGCCUGUCCGAGCGUCAUUUCAACCCUCAAGCCCCCGGGCUUGGUGUUGGGGAUCGGCGUGCCUCCGCGCCCGCCGUCCCCUAAAUCUAGUGGCGGUCUCGCUGUAGCUUCCUCUGCGUAGUAGCACACCUCGCACUGGGAAACAGCGCGGCCACGCCGUUAAACCCCCAACUUCUGAACGUUUGACCUCGGAUCAGGUAGGAAUACCCGCUGAACUUAAGCAUAUCAAUAAGCGGAGGA